GGCAGCCCACGCCUCCCAGGGAUUGCAGGCCUGGGCGCCGGGGUUGGACCAGUCUCCCGGGCAUGGCACGCCCUGGUUAUUCUGUACCCGUGAUUUGUGGCGGGGCAAGACGUUAAGUUGGGUGACACCGAGGUGAGCCACGGUCCUCGGCACCAGAUGAGGAACCACUGUCUCAAUAAGGUCUCAGUGCUGUGUGUGUAAUGGUUACCGUGAGAGCUUCCCUGCAAUCCGAAUUUGUGUGUCUCAUUCUCAGUGACACCAGUGAUGCUGUUAAACAAGGACAAUCCGGUUCAUGGAUUGUGACAACGCACGCUGACAUCAAGCAGACCCUGCCGUCAGGUACAGAGGGCACCACAGUGACCAGGAACUGCUGUCCUUUCAUACCAGGUUUUAGGAGGCUUUACCAGAAGGAAUGGAAAAUGCUGGUGGGCAGUAAGAUUGAAACAGCAUCUGAGGACUGGUUCUGCACAAAACCUUAAAUUCUUCAAGGACUUUGACAUUUGUUUAUUCUUGUAACAAAUUAAAACCUAUCCUGUGUGUUGGUUAGAGAUCUUCAAACUGUAAAUACCUUGAGGCAGGAGUGAGGUUUUUAUCUUUUAAAGGACAGGCCCCUACUCUCCUACGUAAUGAGUUUCUAAAAAUGGAUGUGAGCACCAAUCAAUAUUUCUCUGGUUGUUAAAGUCAAGAAUAAAAUGGUAUUUUUAAGCUCGCAACUGUGUAGGAUGAAUUCUGUACACUUUUAUUUCCCUCUGUUCUCCUUUCCUAUUUGAAAGUUUAUUAGUUUGUGGACUUGGGAUCGGAUUAUUCAUGCAUUAUUUUUUGAUGUUGUAUGUCUCUUGGUUCUUGGGUAUUUUUGACACAUAUUCUGUCUUGUAACCAUAGUUAAACAAUUGUUUUAGACCAACUCUCUGUGUGUAAUUGGCUUCAACACUCACUGCUAGUCCUUUGACGCUCUGUUUUUUUCCAUUCUUGAGUAAUUUUAAGUCAUCACUUGGGCAGUUGAAAUAUAUUUUAAAGUGAUUUAAAGAAUAUGUGAGUGGCAGACAUUCUGAACUCUUUUGGUUGUCUGUCCUCAAAAACUAAAACUUAUUUGUGAGUAAAAUUUUCAUCUAAGUGUUUUCCAUAUAAAAACUCUGUCAGCUACUGCUCCAUUGUAGUAGACACAAAAAAGUCAGCACAAUUUUCAUCCCUCCCUCCCUCCCUUCUCUUCCCCUUCCCCUUCUUGCCCUCCUUCCUUCCUUCCUUCUUUCCUUCCUUCCUUCCUUCCUUCCUUCCUUCCUUCCUUCCUUCCUUUUUCUUUUGUUUCUGAAUGUACAAAGAAAACACUUAAAAAUUUGCUUGUAAUUUAAAAACUUG
rnacentral:lncRNA from 1 species